CAUUCAAUACAAACAUUUUGUCAAACUGUUAACAUUAUUAUUCCUUUGUAUUCCAGGCAAAAAUAAUUCUUUGUGCGAUUGGUCAAGGUUUCCACCGAACCACAUUUUAUGUGUGAUAUUUCCAGAUCUUCAGACCAAUGCCAGCAUUGAGACCAGAAUCAAAAUCGCUACAUGUCCUCACUUCCUCUUAAUUUAUAUUAUUAUUAUUACUAUCAUCAUCGAAAGCAUAAUAAUAAUAAUAAUAAUAAUGAUAGUAAUAAUAAUGAUAGUAGUAGUAGUAAUAAUAAUAAUAAUAAUAAUGAUACUAAUAAUAAUAAGAGUAAUAAUAUUAAUAAUUAAAUAUUAGUAGUAGUGAUAUUAAUGCUGUUGCAUUACAGCACCAUUAGGUCUUCAGAUUUGUCUGUGCAACAAUGCCAUAUCUCCUCAUUGUCUUUUAUUUCAUAUAACAGUCAUUUAAUAAUAUACAGAUUUGAAUUGAUUCAGUGACAGACAAAAUACCUUAUAUCUCUUUGGUUUCCGAAUUUGACUCCUGCAAGUGUCUACUUUAUUAUUCAACCAUCCAAUGUGGAUAUAGCAACUAAGCAUUUUCAAGGUUUGAGUUCAUCAAUUGUUCUUGUAUAUUUGUGUUAGAAAUAAUAGAACUUAUAAUAAAUUGCUGUCUCAUGAGGUUCCUGGGUGGGACUUGAACUCAGUUUGUACAAAUGCCAAAGCAAAAUCUAAGCGUCAUAAGAAUAGCAAUAAUAAAGAAAUACAGAAGCCAUACAAAAGCUCACGACACUAUACACUGACCCCAAAAUAGCUCUGCUAGGAACAGCUCAUAUCUUGCACAAGACACUGUUAAUUCAAUAGUAUAGCUCUAAUAGAACAGUCUUCACACACAACAUACUCUCCAUACAAUAAGCACCAUAUAAUCUAAAACAAUACAACUGUCACAGCAUGUACCAUGUAAGAUUAAGGGCCAUGAAAGCAACACAACCUUCAUUACACACACCACACAACAAACACUAAUAUAAAAUAAGAAACAAAACCCCAUAACAAAACAAACUGAUGCAGAACACCAACAGUAGGAGUCUGUUCUCCCUCAAUACUCGUAAGAAUGCAAUGCUGCAUACACAUCUUGGGGAUACAGAGGUGCACCAGGUGGUGCAAUUGAAACUUGCAUGAAAUUACUGAAGGAAAAUAAAAUAAUAAUAGUUUCUGAUUUAGGUACAAGGCCAACAGGUUUUAGUGGAAGGGAUUAGUCAUAACCAUUGACACCAGUACUUGACUGGUACUUCAAGGAAUGGAAGGUAAAGUUGACAUUGGUGGGAUUUGAAAUCAAAAUGAAAGGAGCUUGCCCAACACUGUAAUGUUUCUGCCAGUUUACUGUCUCCAGUAGUCGUAGUAGUAGUAGUAGUAAUAAUAAUAAUAAUAAUCCUUUCUACUAUAGGCACAAGACCUGAGAAUUUGCAGGAGGGGACUACUUGAUUGCAUCAACCCUGGUGCUUAGCUGGCACUUAUUUUAUCACCCCCCCCCCCCAAAAAAAAUGAUGAAAGGCAAAGUAGACCUCAAUUAUGGUCUGAGUUCAAAUUCAACCAAGGUCAACUUUGCUUUUCAUCUUUUUGGGGUUUGAUAAAGUAAGUACCAGUUGAGCAUUGGGGUUAAUGUGAUCCACUUGGCCCUCAUUCAAAAUUUCAGGCCUUCUGCCUAAUGUAGAAAAAAUUAUUAUUAUUAGCACUAUUGUCACUAGGAAUUGAAUCUUUAGAUUGACUUGUAACACAUUCUUGACAAAUCUCUUUUCAACCAUUUAUUUGAUUGUAAGUUAGGUUUUAUGGAUGAAAAAACAACACCAAAAGGAAUCUAUUUUUUUUUUUUUUUAUGACAGAACAGGAAUAAGACAUUACAAGAGAAAGAGCAGUAUCCACCUUUUCAACUGACUGAUUUUUUUAAAUAUUAUGUUAUAACCCCCCCCCCCUUUUCUUUUUUCUCAGUUUGUGUUGCUGUUCUUAUGCCACAAAGCUGUGUAUUGCCUGCAAUCUCAAACAAUAUUAUCAGGUACACACACACACACACACACACACACACACACACACACAAUGUUUGCAUUAUCGGCAUUGUCAUCAUCAUCAUCAUCAUCAUCAUCAUUAAAACAGCAAAAACAAUAAAACAUUUCAUGUCUAGUUUACCAUGCUUGUAUGGGUUGGAUAGGUUUUGCCCACUUGUAAUAGUCUGCCUCAUCUGGCACACAAAGCAACAGAAAAAAUGCGCCAGUCAGCUAGCCAGCUAGUCAAUUCUAUUGCAGUGUAUGUCAUCUUGCAGUAUGGAAUAAUAAUAAUAAUAAUAAUAAUAAUAAUAAUAAUAAUAAUAAUGAUGAUGACAAUAAUAAUAAUAAUAAUAAUAAUUUUAACACCUACUUUUCCAUGUUCUCAUGGGCCAGAUGGAAUUUGUUGAGGUGAAUUUUCUAUAGCUUAAUGCCCUUCCUGAUAUCAACCUCACCUUUUUUCCAAGUAAGGUAAUAUUUCCCCAAACACCUUUUUACAGAAGACUGUUAAUAAAGGUUACCACUUGCAUGAUGUUGACACUCAUUUACAGCAAUUAUGCAAAGUCAAGGCAAAAACACACACACACACACAUCUUUUAAGAUCAUUUACGGGAAACUUUUUUUUGAUAUGCAUAUGAAAGCUCCUAUUUUAUCAUGCCAGCUACAAUCUAAUGAUACCGACUGGCAAUAGCAGUUUUUUUGGGGUUUUACUGAUCUGUGCUGAUAGAAAUCCAGGAAUACGAACUUUGGUUGUAAGAAACGUGAUUUGUGGAAAUGCACGUAGCGAUGCACUAAAAUCUUAUACAUUCCAUUUUCAGAUUAUUAUUAUUAUUAUUACUACUAUUUAUACAUACUCUUUACUCUCUUUUACUUGUUUCAGUCAUUUGACUGUGGCCAUGCUGAAGCACCACCAUUAGUCGAGCAAAUCGACUCAAGGAGAUUAUUCUUUGGAAGCCUAGUACUUAUUCUAUCGGUGUCUUUUGCCGAACCGCUAAGUUACGGGGACAUAAACACACCACCAUGUGGUUGGGAAACAAACUUCUUACCACACAGCCUCAUCUUAUUUUGUAAGUGAUAUUAGAGGGUUGUUGUAUGUGACAAGUCUAACACUCCCUUCUCUCUUGCAACAGUUUUAGUCAAAGUUACUUUACCCCCUAGGCAGAUAAUAUGCAAUCUGCCUUUCAGAGUUUGCAUUUUACUUGUUAGUAAUGUAAUGAUGUAGUGUUUGUAAAAGAAAGAGGCAGAGAAAGCUUAAGAAAGAGAUUGAGACAGAAGAGAAAGGAACAGAAAGUGAAGGAUAUGAAAAAAAUUAUAUAAUAAUAAUAAUAUAAUAAUGCUGAAUAACUUAAAAAUAAAGAUUAAUACUUAGAAUAUGAAAUGAAGGUGUAUGUAUAUCUAUAUCUGUGUACACACACACACACAUUACAAAGGCGAUAAUAAUUUCUUUAUAAUAUAUGGCAGGAUUAGAAGUUUCAAUUUGAAACUAAGAAAUAAAGAAAAAGAUGCAUUGAAUGCAUUUAAUUAAUUUUUUAA